CAUGGAUUGCGGGGACAGCAAAGCAGCUGUGGUCAGUGCCGCCAGGUGGAGGCCAGAGAAGUAGGACCAGCUUCCUGAAGGAGGAGAUUCUUGAGCUUAACCAAGGACUGACAUUUCUAAGCCCAGGAAUGGCCAGGAUCAGAUGAGCAUUUCAGGAAGGUCGCCCUGGCAGCACAUGGAGGAGGAAGUAGAGGGGAAAGGGCUGGCGUCAGGUCAUGAAGGUCUGGGAGAAAAGCUACGGUGACUUGACCUGGGGCCAAGGCAGAGCUGUGAAGGUAUUGGACCCACCUCAGUGCUCUCUCCAGACCCUUCCAGCUCAGCUUUGGGGUGGAUUUGGGCAGCUGCCCUCGUUAGAGGACUGAAUGGGGAGUCCAGAGACCUGGAUUCAAGUCCUCUCCCUGCCCAUUGCUGUGUGAUCUUGAGUACUCAAGAUCUCCACUCACACUGCUCCUGCCACCUGGAGCACCUCUCCUUUCCUUUCAACGACCCAGAUUCUUCUUUCAAGACCUAGGUGAAGACCUCCGCCUUCAGGAAGCCUCCCGUGGCCAGCCCAGCCAUAACCCUGAGACCUCUGGGGAGGAGAUCCCCAUUUGCUUGCUAACUCCAGGGGCCAGGCUGGGGGCUGUCUGGAGCAAGAUGACAGAAGGACUGGGGAGGCUGCAUCCAGGCUCAGCUGGAAAGAGCCCCCAAGUCCCUCAAGCUCCUGACAGUCCCUCUGCCUGAGCCCAGGCUGGAGCCAGGAAAAUCCAGACACGCCUCCUCCCAAGCUGCCUGGGCUGCCAAGACAGAGGAGAAGAGAAGGGAAGAGGAGAGGCGGAGGGGGUAAAAGACACAUCCCAGAUACCUGUCCUCAGGGAAACACGGUGGCCCCAGUGU